UGCCAGACUCCUACGGGAGGCAGCAGUGGGGAAUAUUGCACAAUGGGGGGAACCCUGAUGCAGCGACGCCGCGUGAGUGAAGAAGUAUCUCGGUACGUAAAGCUCUAUCAGCAGGGAAGAAAAUGACGGUACCUGACUAAGAAGCCCCGGCUAACUACGUGCCAGCAGCCGCGGUAAUACGUAGGGGGCAAGCGUUAUCCGGAUUUACUGGGUGUAAAGGGGGCGCAGACGGCAAUGCAAGCCAGGAGUGAAAGCCCGGGGCCCAACCCCGGGACUGCUCUUGGAACUGCAUGGCUGGAGUACAGGAGGGGCAGGCGGAAUUCCUAGUGUAGCGGUGAAAUGCGUAGAUAUUAGGAGGAACACCGGUGGCGAAGGCGGCCUGCUGGACUGUGACUGACGUUGAGGCCCGAAGGCGUGGGGAGCAAACAGGAUUAGAUACCCGUGUAAG
rnacentral:rRNA from 1 species